ACGAACGCUGGCGGCGUGCUUAACACAUGCAAGUCGAACGGGCCCGCUCUCUUUUUUGGGGGUGGGUUGAGUGGCGAACGGGUGAGUAUCACGUGAGUAACCUGCCCCCUGCUCCUGGAUAACUGCUUGAAAGGGCGGCUAAUACGGGGUGUGCCGGCUGGUCCGCCUGGGCCUGGUCGGGAUAGUUUCAUCUUCGGGUGGUUCGGUGGGGGAUGGGCUCGCGGCCUAUCAGCUUGUUGGUGGGGUGAUGGCCCACCAAGGCGGGGACGGGUAGCCGGCCUGGGAGGGUGGGCGGCCACACUGGGACGGAGACACGGCCCAGACUCCGGCGGGAGGCAGCAGUGGGGGGUAUUGCACAAUGGGCGGAAGCCUGAUGCAGCGACGUCGCGUGAGGGAUGGAGGCCUUCGGGUGGUGAACCUCUUUCUCCGGUGGUGAAGGCCCUGUCCGUUGCGGCGGGGUUGACGGUAGCCGGGUAUGAAGCGCCGGCUAACUACGUG
rnacentral:rRNA from 1 species